CCUACGGGAGGCAGCAGUGAGGAAUAUUGGUCAAUGGGCGCGAGCCUGAACCAGCCAAGUAGCGUGAAGGAUGACUGCCCUACGGGUUGUAAACUUCUUUUAUAAAGGAAUAAAGUGAGGCACGUGUGCCUUUUUGUAUGUACUUUAUGAAUAAGGAUCGGCUAACUCCGUGCCAGCAGCCGCGGUAAUACGGAGGAUCCGAGCGUUAUCCGGAUUUAUUGGGUUUAAAGGGAGCGUAGAUGGGUUGUUAAGUCAGUGGUGAAAGUUUGCGGCUCAACCGUAAAAUUGCAAUGGAUACUGGAAGGCUUGAGUACAGUUGAGGUAGGCGGAAUUCGUGGUGUAGCGGUGAAAUGCUUAGAUAUCACGAAGAACCCCGAUUGCGAAGGCAGCUUACUAAACUGCCACUGACAUUGAUGCUCGAAAGUGUGGGUAUCAAACAGGAUUAGAUACCCCUGUAGUC
rnacentral:rRNA from 1 species